CCUCCCAAAGUGCUGGAAUUGCAGGCGUGAGCCACCGCGCCCAGCAAGGUGAAUACUUUUCCACAGUGUGUCUGGAGACAUGGAUUUAGAAGCCAGGGGCUGGGUGGGGCAGAAGGAGGCUGGUUCUAUCCAAGUCUACCUGCCCUUGAACACCCUGACUUGUCUCCCCCUUUCAAGGAAGCCUGCCUCUCCAUCAUUUCUCUUUCUCCAUAUUUUUUUGGGACUUGUACUAUUGUUUUGAGUUGUCAGUUAUCUUUUGAACUGCUCCAUGCACUUGGUGUAUGUUUAUGUCUUUCCAAUGAAUCAGUCAACUCCUACCAGGCAGGACCAUACGUUUUACUGUUCACAUCUUUGUACUGCAGCCUUACAGAAUGUGCAGGGCCUUACAGAGGGUGGGAACUCAGCAUACCAAUAUGCUUCCAUUAGUUAGGAGAGAUUCUACAAAAUGGCAAAAUCUCAUACACCUUCUUUAAGGAGUUAAAUCAUUACUCAGCUGAAAAGAAGUUUCUUAAAGUUUAUGAAUAGUUCUAAAAUAUGUAGGUAAACAAAGCUAUGUUAAUGAGCAGCAUUGUCAGAAAUGGGUCACAGUUAAUUGGAGACGUAGCACUCCUUCCCUAGCUGGCUCCUUUUAACAGCUGAAGUCUGAGCCUUUGUUAUUACCCUUCCUCUCUAUUCUCACUGCCACUGCCCUUCGUUAGGUCUGACACUAUUUCAAAUGAAGCAUUAUAAUGGAUCACAGCAACUAAAACAGACCGGCACAACAAAGAUUCCCCACGUACGGGUCUCCUAAGAUUGUCCUCCAGUCCGGCUCCCAUUCAAAUUUAUCCUCCAAAUACCAGCUGAGUUAUAUUUCUAAGGUCACUACAGGGCUGAAAAAGACUUCAGUGGUUGGUCAUUACCUGUGGUAGGGGAAGUCAGAUAACUUAAAUUGCCACGUGUGACCCUUCGUGCCUUGAGCUUCAUCUAGCUCACUGCAUGUCCCUCCUCCCCACAUACCCUGUGCUCAGCCACUGACGUCUUCUAAAUGGGACAAACACACCUUGCUUGACUCACCCCUCUAAUUUCACAUAUACUCUUCCGUGUCUUGGGUUCUCAUCUAGAAUUCUCCUUAUUUCCCUUCCUCAUGAGGUCUCUCAUUACUCUAGGGAGAAUUAGUUACCCCACUUCUUGUGUUCUGAUUUGAUUUGUUUAUGUAUCUCGUAACAUAUAGAGUUGUAAGUAAUUGCAGCAUACAAAUAAGACCCCUCACCCCACCCCCACUGCCCCCAGACUCCAAGUUCUCCUAGAGCAAGAACCAUGUCUACCUUUUUCCAUUUGGGGUAUUCCUGCUAUGUGGCUGGCAUUUUACUUAUAACAGCUCAUUUAAAUUUUUAAAUUAUUUCAUAAGACCUAUUAUUAUCCCUAUUUUGCAUAUGAUGAACCUGAGGCUCUGAGUGUUUUCAUUACCCAAAAUCACAACUGGUGAAUGCUAAAAACCGAGACUUACAUGUAUGUUCUGUUCUAAGGCCAGUGGUCUUUACUCUGCAGUGUGCUACUGUUGCUCAUUCACACUUCUAUUUUCUGUGCCUAGUACCACAAGAUGGUAAUAAGUAAAACGCCAGGUAAAUGAAUGAGGCCAAAUUCCCAGUAUCCCAGUUUCUCUUGAGUAAAAGUCCGACUCCCUUCCCAUUUGUUGCCGCCCUUCCCUUCCCAUCUCUGUCUUCCUCCUUUUCACCUGUGCUGUCUCACGAAGAAGGCAGGUCGUUUUUUUGUUGUUGAUUGUUUUGUAUGUGCUGCAAACAUUGCAAGUGCUCCUCCCAGCUCACAAUGACUUCUCCCAAACACCCGCUUUUGCUUUCUGACAUUUUCAGUGUCCGCUGCCAAGACCUGCUGUGAUUCUCGUGACACAGAGUUGUGUGUAAGAGCUUGCAACAGCCAGAGGGGCCUCUGACGAGACAGGCCAUCCUGAGGCUGUCAGGCACUGGGUCGUAAUGAGCCUGCCAUUUGAAAGAGCCACGGUACAGGUUGGGUUUGGGUUUAUCCUCCCUCUUACCUCCCCUUUCCAUUUGAUGUAGAUUGGCACAGACCAGGUUUUUCUCAAUGUAAGAACAUAAAGACAUGAAAUAUUCUCAGAACAGGAAAAGGCCACACGGCUCAAUAUAUUGACCUCUUCUGUUAAUAUUUCCAGUGAUUCUCCAUUUUGGUAAAAGAGCUUGGCUGAUUACUGCUGGCGGAAAGUGACAAAGUGAGAAGGUGUUUUAGGGCUUGACUUUUAGGUACUGGGGGGGGAAGCGAUCCAGGAGAGUGUCAGGCCAGCUCCUCAAUUUAGAAAGGAGUAAAAGAAACGCUGGAAACUGGUGGGUGUUCUUAAGGCUCACAGGUAUGUGGAGCUGAGCACAGACUAGAAAGUGGGUUUUCUAAGGCAUGAAGCCCAUAGAACUAUCCCAAAACAUUACCUCCAGCAAAAUGAACCUCAUAUACCGGGGCCUAUUCCCCCAACUUCUAUUUUAAAAUUUAUCUGGUGGAGUUACCUUGUGGUUUGGGGUUGGCAUUCCUCUUUGAUCUGUGCUAAAGGGCAAACCCAUCUGGCCCCAAGAACAGUUAGAAUGUUAACUGUGAGGAUGACCACAUGUAUUAGUCCAUUUUUGUGUCAGUGUAAACAAAUACCUUUGGCUGGGUAAUUUAUAAAGGAAAGAGGUUUCAUUGGUCCCUAGUUCUGCAGGCUUUACAGGAAGCAUGGUGCCAAUAUCUGCUCAGCUUCUGGUAAGGGCCUCAGGAAGCUUCUAAUCACAGCAGAGAGCUAAGCAGUGUGGGGUGGGGUGGGGGCAGGCGUGUCACAUGGCAAGAGUAGGAACAAGGGGUGGGGGAGGUGCCACACUCUUUUAAAUAGCCAAAUAUCGUGGUUGGUAAUGGUAGACAACUCAUUAUCAUUCAUUACGGUGGGGAAGACACCAAACCAUUCAUGCAGGAUCUGCCCCCGUGACUGAAAUGCAUCCCACCAGGCCCCAUCUGCAACAUUAGAGGUCACAUUUCAACAUGAGAUUUGGAAAGGAUAAACAUCUAAACUGCAUUAUUCUGCCCCUUCCCUACCCCCCAAAAUAUCAUGUUCUUCUCACAUUGCAAAAUACAGUCACCUCUUCCCAACAGUCCCUCAAAGCCUUAACUCGUUCCAACAUCAAGUCCAAAGUCCUAAGUCUCAUCUGAGACUUAUCUUCUUCUGCCUAUGAGCCUAUAAAAUCAAACGAAGUUAUUUACUUCCAAGUCACAAUGAUGAUAUAGGCAUUGGGUAAAUGUUCCUGUUCCAAAAUGGAGAAAUUGUCCAACAGGAAGGGGCAGUAGGCCACACACAAGUCUCAAACUCAGCAGCCAUUACACCUUAAAGAUCCAAUAUAAUCUCCUUUGACUCCAUGUCCCAUAUCCAAGCCACACUGGUACAAUGGGUGGGCUUCAAGGCCUUUGGGAAACUCUGCUCCUGUGGCUUUGCAGGGUGUAGACCCUGUGGCUGCUCUCACAGGUUGGAGUUGAGUGCCUAUGGCUUUUCCAGACUCAAGAGGCAAGCUGCUCAUGGCUCCAUCAUUCUGGGGGCUGGAGGGUGGUGGCCCUCUUCCCACAACUCCACUAGGCAGUUCCCUGGUGGAAACUGCAUGGGGGCUUCAUCCCCCCAUUUCCCCUCCCUCUGCACUGCCCUAGUGGUGGUUCUCUGUGAGUGCUCCACCCCUGUGGCAAGCUUCUGCCUGGGCACCCAGGCUUUCCCAUACAUCCUCUGAAAUCUUGGAGGAAGCUGCCAGGCUUCCUUCAUGCUUGCAUUCUGUGAGCCUGCUGACUUAGCGCCAUGUGCAAGCUGCCAAGGCUUAUGGCCUGCACUCUCUGGAGUAGUGGUCAGAGCUGUACCUAGGGCCCUUAGAGCCACAGCUGGAGCUGGAGCAGCCAGGAUGUGGGGAGCAGUGUCUGGAGAUUGCUCAGGACAGUGGGGUCUUGGACCUGGCUCCUGAAACCAUUAUUUUCUCCUAAGCCUCUGGGUCUGUGAUGGGAAGGGCCGUUCCAAAGACUUUCGAAAUGCCUUGGCUCCCUUUUAGUCAUGUUAAUCUCUCUAGCAAGUGGUUGCUACACAACCUGUCUAGAUUCCUUCUCUACAACAGGGCCAGGCUGCAAACUUACUUUUACUCUCUGCUUCCCUUUUAAAUAUAAGUUACUAGUUUAAGUUUUUUUUUGUUGUUGUUGUUGUUCCCAAACCUGAUUCUAGGCCAUUAAAAGCAGCCACACCACUUCUUGAAUGCUUUGCUACUUAGAAAUUUCUUCUGCCAGAUACUGUGAGUUGUCACUCUUAAGUUCAACCUUUCACAGAUCCCUAGGGUGCGGAUACAGUACAGUCAAGCUCUUUGCUAAGGUGUAACAAGGGUGACCUUUACAGCAGUUUCCGAUAAGUUCAUUAUUUCCACCCGAGACCAUUGACAGUCUGGAUUUUACUGUCCAUAUUUCUACCGGCAUUUUGGUCACAACCAUUCAACCAGUCUCUAAGAAGUUCCAAACUUCUCCUCAUCUUCCUGUCUUCUUCUGAGCCCUCUACACUCUUCCAACUUCUGCUUGUUACCCAGUUCCAAAGCUACAUUCAUAUUUUCAGGCAUCUCUAUGCCAACACCCCACUCCUUGGUACCAAUGUUUUUGUGUUAGUCCAUUUUUGCAUCUCUGUAAAGGAAUACAUGAGGCUGGGUAAUUUAUAAAGAAAAGAAGUUUACUUGGUUCAUGGUUCUGCAUCUGCUUCUGGUGAAGGUCUCAGGAAUUUACCAGUCAUGGCAGAAGGUGACAGGGACCCAGCAUGUCACAUGGCAAGAGCAGGAGCAACAGAUGUGGGGGAAUGCCACACUCUUUUAAACAACCAGAUCUCACAUCAGCUCAGAGCAAGAACUCCACAUUACCUUAAGAACAGCACCAAGCCAUUCAUGAGGGAUCUAUCCUCAUGAUCAAAACCCCUCCCACCAGGCCCCACCUCCAACAUUGGGGAUCAUAUUUCAACAUGAGGUUUGGAGGCGACAAAUAUCCAAACCAUAUCACCAUAUCAGAUGGACCCAUGGUUUGUCUCUUUAAGCAGGGCUUCCCCCUUUCCAAGCUUCCAAAGUGUCUCUAGAGCGAGGGGUGAUGCCCAGUGAGGGACAGUCUGCAGGACAGAUCAGCCCACAGUGGCAGUUCUCUUAUUCAGACAAUUUCUCCAGUGCCUCUGUUGAAACUCUUGAGCUACCAGGUUGGGAUAAUCUUCCCUAAGGGACGAGAACAUUGCCCAAGAACGUUAGGACAAUGAGGAAAGGUACCAAGGGGCAGUACUUAGCCACUACUCUCUCAUUGCUCUUGAUAAAAACUUUCUUUCUCACCAUUUGCCAUUCUGGUUACCGGUUGAUCCCAAGCCACAAGAAGUCCUCACUUUCUUGAAAUGCCACUCUUAACAUCAUAUCCCUUGCCGAUAUAAUGGAUCAAGAAAGAUCUAAGAGGCCUCAUUGUUUUUAUGCAACCAGGGUACCAGCUUCUACCAACAAUGUCAUAUUCCAUAUGCACUGUUACUAUUUUGUCUCCUCCCCUUCCUGAAAUGCAUAUGAAUAUCCUGCUAAAAGACACAGGACAUGCAAUUAUUCACACAUAGUACCUCAAGCAAUUGACAGUCAACAGAGCCAAUGUUAGGUGUUGCUCUGGAGAUAUGCGCAAAUGUUAGGGGAUUUGAUCUUGUCUUGAAAUUUAAAAUGGGGAGGGCAGAGUAGGUGUCCCUAAUGAAGUGUUCCUUGAAAGCAAUCUGGCAGUUGAAAUUUUAGCUGAGGUGACAGAAGAUCUGUUAGUUCAUUCAAACCACUUUCUCCCCUGCCAGAGGUGAAGAAUAAUUCUGAGUGGUUCCUGCUCAACAUUUUUUCCUACUGCAACAUCUAAUGGUGUUUGUAUUCUCACACUGCCACAAAUACUUCUAAGAUCAUGCAAAAUUCUGAACAUACUCUUUCUAAGGAGAGAAAAGGACAGGCUGGUAAAGAGACAGAAUUUAUUUGCAAGGCUUAAGUAAAUGGAAAGAUACAAUGAAACAGAGAGAGUGGUUUUAUAUGCAAAUCUAGGAGGGUACAACUAUUUUGCCUGAUGAUUAUAAACUCAUUGAGAACAGAGGCCAUAUCCAUCUUCACUCUGCACUCCCAAUGCUCAUACACAAUGCAACUGUUUAGGUUCAAUAAAUACUUCUUCCCUGUCCAAAUCUACUUCUCAUCCUGUUAGUCCUGCUCUUAUUUUUAUCUGGAUUGAGGGCUGGGGGAGUGGCUGAAGAAGAGAGGCACAUGUAUUGCCUCUAUCAUUAUUUCCUCACAAAUAACCAAUUAACUCCUGCACCAGUAUUUACACCACUAUCUACUAAAUCUUGAGAGAAAAAUAAAUUUAAAAAUAAUUUGGAUUCCUUUUUUAUUCUUUAUGGGUAGAGUUUUUUUUAUUUCUCUGCUUAAGAAAGGGAAAUAAUUGAAAUAAGAGAAAUUUUCAUUUCUCUGCCUGCUGUGGGAAGACAUAUUUCAAUAAUGCAUUGAGAUUCUCUGAAGAGGUGGAUGGCCAGGCUGGUAGAGACACCAGCAGCAGCCGGGCAUGGGGUGGAGGUGGUGAGAGGAAGGGGCCGUGUCUGAAAACUGCUCUGAGAGGUGUCCUUAGCUCUGGGCAACUGCAGCUGCAGGGAACUCUGGCAGAGGGGAACAAAGUAGUGAGUUUGCUAAGACCAGAGACUGAUUCUGCCUACGGUCUUUAGCCAGACGGCUGCUUAUCAGGAGUGUUCAGACUGGAAGACAGGAAAUUAAUGUUGGAUUGUAGGUCCAUUUGUGCUAAGCUGCCCAUGGUUGCUUGGGAGGCUCAUAGCACUGAACCCUGGCCAUACCUCUGUGCUUUCAGAGAGCAGCAUCAGGCAUUUUGUAGCAUGAAUAAAGACCUGAAAAAGAAAUGACCUAUUCUGAGAGGAUCAGAGCACCGGGGAUCAUUUAACCACAACAUGAUGACGAUUUGUGAGAUGGGGAGAUUGGUGACAUGUAAAAUUAUCUGUGUGAAUGCAUUCAAGGAGGGGAGAUUGCUGCUUACUUAUUUACUGUCAAAUGACUGAAAGCCCAGGUUUGGAAACAGCGAGGUUCUAUUGUCAGUUCUUCCUAUUAGCCGUGGACUACUAGUGGCAAGGUCUGGAGAACAAGACCCUGAUUCUGUGAAAUCACCCAGGUUUAAGCGCUAGCAUUUGUUAAUCCAGCGGGUGAUUGCACAGGCUUUGGAGUUGAACAUGCUCGGGAUGUAAUUCCUCUUCUCCUCUUGAUUAGGCGCAUGAAAGUGGUCAAGUUACUUAAAGUCUGGAAGUCUCAGUUUUCUCAUCUGUAAAAUGGAGAUAAUAUAGACUUUAUAGACUUCAUGGAAUUUCUAUGAGAGUUGAGGUAGGACCAUUAACCAUACCAUUUUAUUCCUCAACACUGAAUCUGGAAUCAAUUGAGUAGGUGGCUGACAGAUUUUUUUUUUAAUCAAACAAAUAAAAAGAUGAGGUUUGUUGCUACUUGUAUUAAAUUAGAGAAUAUAGCUUGAAUCUUUAGCUAAAAUUGGGCUUUCUACUAUCUGCAGUAUGAAACUCACACAUCUAGUAGUAUAGCCUCUCAUCUCAAUCUCCUCCUCUUAUAUAUGCCCUCUCACUUCCCACUCCCCCAACCAUAGACACACAAAUAAGUAAGCAGAGAUUCCCUCAUAAGAACGUAAUGAGAGAAGAAUGAGUCCAAGCUGACAGUGAGAAAGGUGCAUCAAAUGCCACUGGCCCCACGUAUUUAUAGAAUUAUCCUUUCAUUGAUAUUACUUUUCAUUCUCAUGUAUCUGUAAAGAAAGAGAUUUAUAAAGAACCUUAAGCUUUUUGAGGGAAAGCAAAACCAAACAAUAACCCCCCCUAAAAAAGAAAAAGAAAACCCCAAAACCCUCAUCAUUGCACAUUUUCUUCAUUUCCAGCUGUCUUUGGGCUGGUUUUCAUAGGGAGCUGAAGACAGAAAUCAGUACUCAUGGUGUCACUCUCUGUAGUUGUGGCAUUUGGGUGCUUCCCAUGCCAAGAGAUCCAAGCCUGAUAUUCAAGCAGGCUUAAAAGAGCCCGUCAUGGUGGAGGCUGAACAUACGCUACAGUGGGACAACGGAUAUCCAGACCAAGGUGUCCCCGGCUCACUUUCAGAAUUCCAGUGCUGAUAGAAUCUCACUUACAGACCACAGAAUUUAAAAGGGCUGCUGAGGCAUUCCAGAAAUAGCCAUUAACCUGGAGCAAGGAUAUAUGCUUCAAUCCUGCCUCUGCCAUGUCCUAGCAGAGUGACCUUGGGCAACUAGUUACUCCGUGUCUCCUAGUCUCAUUUUCCUCCCCUACAAAACGGGGACAAUAAUGCCUAUCUUAUGGGGUUUCUGACGAGAUGAGCAAAGUACUUAUGUUACAUACAUUAUAUGUAUAUUAUACAUAUAUAUAUAUUUAAGCACCUGUUAUUGUCAAGGUCUGUAAUACACAUAUAUAUACACACACAUACAUAUAUACACACACAUAUAUGUAUAUGUAUAUAUACACUGGAUACAUGUACUGGAUCUGAAAGGAAUACAUAUGAUAAGGAAUCAUUCAGUUGUCUUUCCUGCUCACCUGGCCUCGCGUAACUUAAAGGUGACUUAAAGGUGAAUGAUCUGGAAGUGGAAGAGGCCAUUGUCCAGGCUCAGAUGGCCCAACAGCAACAGUGGUGUUGCAGCACUUUUUCUGCAUGAGAUUUUAACUUCGUCUGGAAGAAACCCAAAUGCCUAAACUAAUGUAUAAAUUAAUGAAUGCAUAGAUGCCUAAAAUGUUUGUUUUGUGGGUGUUUUUUUUUUACACCUGAAGGAAUGAGUUUUAUUUUCUAUAAAAUGUUUGACUCUCAAUGACUCAUGUUAACCAAUUGGCACAUUUUCUUUCUUCCCCGAAAACCAAAUUGUUAAGAAAACAAGAACUUCAGAACAGGGAGGCAAAUUGACUGCAUCUGUGCUGUCUGAGUUAGGGGACUAGUCGUGGGCUAAAAGUAGAUGGCUGGACGUGACACAUAUUUGGAAGUAAGGAGUGACUCAAGGACAGAAAGGAGUCUGGGAUGAGUAAGUCUUCGUCUCCUGAGUAGCUGAGCCUGGAGAGGGAGGGGAGGAUUCUGAGCAUGUUGCAGUAAACAAAAUUAAGGAUGCAAGGAAGUAGAAUAUGUUUGUGGCUAACGUAAAAGAGUCGAUACAUUUGAAAUACCGACAGGACAUCUAUAUCUGUAUUUAUCCAUCUAUAAACUAUUGGAACUAUGUCUGAAAUUUCAGAAACAUUUGUAAGUCUUCUGCACAGAAGAAAUAAGUGAGGCCAUUGAAAUGGAUGAAGUCUUUCAAAGAUCUUAAGUAAGAGUAAAAUAAUUGGGGCAAAGUCGUUGGGGAAGGGUUGGAUAAAGAAAAAGAACUGUCAUAGAAGUUAUAAAAACAAACUCGGGUGGUCUAAUAGAAUUGGCAUCAUGGGAGAAGUGCAUUUCAAGAAGAAGAUGACCAACAGUUUCAGAUACUCCAGAGAGAUCGAGAAAAAUGGAAUAUAAGAAAAGGUCUCUAGAUUUGAUCAUUAGAUUUCAAAAUAAUUUCACAUUUUUCAUUUUAUUUGUACAGCAUGUCAGAGCUGCCAAGGUCAGAAUCUGUUUUUCAAUAUUACGCUUUUGGAUGUAUAUGGAGCACCGACAUUUUAUUAACAAGUAUGCUCCAAAUCAUAUCGCCAUAUCUGGUGGGGAUGUGGACAACUUCAACAUUGAAUGAAUACAUUCAGUCAUUGAUGAGGAGCAGGAGGAGACAGCAUAAAAUAUGUGAGGAUAAAAAAGAUAAGAGUUUGAGUGGUGUAAUGACACAGGUUUGAGUCAAGGAAGGAGAUGGUAGCAGCUCCAACAAUUACUCAUAUAAUGCCCUCUGUCCACUCCUGAACAAAUGUCUAUUGAAUAUCCAUGUGCCAGGCGCCUUUCUGGGUGCUAGGGACACAGUGGUGAAUAAAUAGAUCUGCAGCUUCUGUGCUCUUAGUGUCCAGCAGAGAGAGGUUAAUAUUUUCAACUGUGGCAUAUUAAUCUCAACUUGUCAUUCUCUGGUGGGGGCUAGAGCUCAUGUCUGUAUUUGUAGAGGCAAAGCAAGAUGGACAGUGUUAACAUUCUCUAGGUCAGUGGUUUCAAAAUGCUGACCCAUGAUGAUGCUGGCCCAUGAUGAAGUCCCACGCCUGUGAGGAAUGAAAACAAUUGGGAGAACAAAGCCAGAGGGAGCCAUCAUGUCAACAACUGUCCUUUCUGAAAUUAUAUCCUCUCUCUCUAUGGAAUUAAAAUGCACCCUUAGUUUUUAAGAAUUAAUGAUGAGAAGAAGUAGACACUGUUACUUGGCAAAAUAAAAAAAAAUUGGCACCUAACUUCUGCCCUUUCUUUUCUUUUAAAUUUUACUGAUCUAUAAACCCCGAAAGUCUGAGAAUUUCUGUUACAAGAUAUCUAGGUUAUGCAGGAAAUACAUAUUUUUUUGAGAAAAAAAGGAUCUUCCAGUUGGCUCAACCCAGGUAGGCUGUGGACAAUUGAUCCAAUUUACCCAAUAUUUACCCAGCCUCCCACCCCCUUUGCUGGGAUUCUGCCAAGCAAACUCACCAGGAAACUGAAGGGUGCUUGUCAGUAAAUCAAUUUAAUUGUUAAUUGUGGCCAGACCCAAAAAUGUUCAUCUAAAAUCAUAGCUGUCACUCUAACCCUAAGGAUAAGAGACAUCCACUUAAAAGACAAAAUCUAAAAGUCCCAAAGGCAAAUUAAUAUAAACGACACCCGGGAUUCCUGAGAAACGGCAGGUCUCGAGCUUUCCAGCUGAACUGUACUUUGCGUUUAUCUCUCUGUCUCUUUGUCUUCUACAGCAUUUGAAGGAGAAAUUCCAAGGGAGAACUCAGUUAAACUUGACUAAUUAAUUCUUUGUAAAAGCUCGUGACUGAAGAUGGGAUGGUAACAUAGAGGCCGCCUGGCCGUAGGGUCAACUGGACCCUGUGCUCCUGGAAGUUGGGGCAGUCACUUUAGUCACGCACCCUCCCCAAGCCCAGCACCGAGGGGCUGUGCCGGUUUCCCAGGGCUCCCAUAACAAAGUACCACAACCAGGGAACUUCGAGGUGAUUGUUUCACAGGGCCAGAGGCUGUAGGUUCAAAACCAGGGCACUGGCAGGGCCAUGCUGCCUCAGAAACCUACAGGGGAGAACCCCUCUUUGACUCUUCCCAUGUCUGGUGUUUCACUGAAAAUCCUGGUGUUCAUUGGCUUGUGGGCUCAGCACUUCAGUCCCUGCCUCUGUUGUCCCAGGACCUUCUUCCCUCACACGUCUCUGUCUCUGUGUCUUUUCUCCUUUUCUUACGAGCCAUAUUGGAUUAAUGGCCCACCCUAUUCCAGUAUGACCGCACAGGAACUAAUCACAUCUGCCAAGACUCUAUAGCCAAAUCAGUUCAUGGUAUGAGGGACCAGGUAAUAGGACUUCAACACAGCUUUUCUGGGAGGAUGAGAGGACACAAUUCAACCCAUGACAAGUGCUCAGUAAUGAACAUGUGAAUAAAUGAUUCUGGGAACUAGCACCAGUUAAGACUUUGGCUGUGGGGAUGACAGCAUUUGAACAAACAGGUGUGUACUCGCCUUAGUGCUGAAUACAGAUAUAGAUAUAGAUAGAACUAGAUAGAUAAAUAUAUGUAUGUGUGCAAAUAUGUUUAUAUAUUUGUAUAUUACAUGUAUAAUAGUAAAAAUUAUAUCAUGAUGUUAUUGUGUGCUUUUGAAAGGUCUAACACACGAAUUUCAAAGUAGUAAUAAUUAAACUUAUGCACACUGCAGAUGUCACCCAUGGUCUUCCAAUUCCUCACACUCGUGAGAUUUUUCCUGAUUGAAAGAUUCCAUUGAUAAUGACGGACAUUGGCUUGCAAUGCGACAAUUCCCUCUUAAAGCAGUCAACCAUUGCCAAGACUGAGGGCCCUCUGGAUAGGAAGUGGCCCCCAUUUUAGGAAAGAGGGCUCCAAGAGGGCUCCUUCUUCCUGCGGAAGGAAGAGGCCAUCUCUCUUCAGCUUCUGGCUUAGCAGAUCCCUUGAGGGACUACUGAAAAUCCAGGAAGAAUUUUUACUGAUUAAUUUUAAAACAUAGUUUUUGCCAAAAGAAAAAAAAAGCUUCUGUCUCCUGAACUUUGGUUCUGCGAGAGAAAGAACAUAAUGGGCCCAGACUAUUACAAUCUUGACCUUUCAUGGAGAGGCUUAAUGAGAUGGUGGGAACUUGUUGAGGGCUGUGGGGUCAGUUCCUCAGCUCCUCAGGAUGCCGCAGGACUUGGAAGUGUGGUUUGGUGGGUGCCAUGGGAGCUGAUUCCCGGCCCCCAGCACCUCACUGGCUCUUGGGUGUGCACCCUGCUGGCUCACAGGGGUCGCUUUUGCAGUCCAGAGGCCUGGUACACUUCCCACCUUGCUCCUAGGACAUUUUCUUCCCUCAUAACCCCUCCCCAUCCCUCUGGUUCACUCAGGUGCCUAAGAGAAGGUGCUGGUUUGAAUGUGUCCUUUGACCCCAGCUAGAAUAAAUGAAAUAGGAUAGUCGUGCGUCCUAGGGAGGGACAUCCACUUUCAGUGGGUGGCUGCUAUCUGGUGCUCUGCCAGCUCUCCUUGAAACCCCUGGCAGCCUUCCGAGAUUAAAUGCAGAGCUCUUGAGUAAUCUAAACCCAGCAAGAAGUCACUCUCUCAGCAGCAGGUCAAGUGUUCUAGACUGUCAUCUUAUUGAGAGCAAAGAGAAAUUUUGAUUUAAAAGAAGGCCCGUAAUUUUCCAACAAGGAGUGAAAGCAAUAACAUUUCUUCUGCCCCCUGCUGACUCCUCACUUCGUAGAAACUUGGCUUCUCCGGGUCUGGAUCAUUCCUUUGUGCUUGGAUAUUCUGUCAGAGGCUUUCUUCUCAAAGAGAUGUUCCUUAACAAGAAAUGCAUUGAAGCUGAGGAAGGGAACAAAUUGAUAUGUAUUUGUGAGUUUGGUAAAAUAAGAAAGAUGUAUUCUCAGCACACAAUGGUGCAUGUGCAGGCCUGCCUUGUCCACCACCCUCAAUCCACCUCCUCCUGCCCCUUUCUUGGGUCCCUUUCUCUUGCCUCAUACCCUGCCCCGAGCGUCCCCGGGCCGGCCCAGAGGGGAAGGAGCAUGGCUUUCACGUGGCCAGAAGGGACACAGGGUUCAGGCCUGCUCAGAGAUAGAAAUAUAACUCCCUGACAGGGAAUACUGUUUCGAGGUGGUGUUCUGUAUAUGAAAAAAUCUGCAUCCUGAUAUAUGCCUCAUAAUAUAGUGCUUUGUGGGUCUUAUUGCAGUGCAUUUUAUUUAGUCAAUAAUGCUGUACAGCACUGUCUGAUAAUAAAUAACUGCAAUUUGCAUGAUAUUCUGGGCUGUUAGAUUUUUUUCUUGUUCUACAAGAAAAUUGCAUUUAUCUUUCAGUUUUCUUUUUUUUUUUUUUUUUAGUCCAAAUAUCCUACAACUGCUUAAAUAAAGACCACUUCAACUUUCAAUUUAUUACUAACCCUAACUAUCACAGCAAGCAGUAUAAGGGCUAAGAAACAUGAGCCUCUUGUAAGGGGCUAAUCUCUGCAUUGGAUACUGUUGUGUGCAGGUGGUUACUGCAUCUGAAGCACUCCUUUCCUUCAGGAAUUGUCCCUGUGCUCAGAGAGCUUGCACCAAGAGGCAUACCUGCAGUGGUGUGGACAGAAAGGGCAGUGAGUGGGUGUCCACCCCAACUAUGUUGCAUCAUUUUAAUUAGUUUGCAUCUGUGUGUUAGACUCUGAGCAUCACAGAUGCAGGGACUAUAUGUGAUUAUCUUUAUAACCCUUGGAUUGAGCAUCCUGCCGAGUGCAUACUAAGUGCUCAUCGAAUUUUGUACAAUAAAUCAGUGCACAAACAAAUGAAUGAGAAAGUCAUUUUGGAUUCAAUGCUGCCUAUCUGUGCAAUUUUAUGCUGGCAUACUUCUGGUGGCAAUUUUAUAUUUGUAGUAGUUUUUGAAGCACUGUCAUAGACUGGUGAUAUUGCAUAGGGGUGAGAAUAUUGGUUCUACCAAUCAGUUUCUAAGCUUUAGCUCCUUCCUCAGUAAAAUGGGAGGAACAACUCUAGCUAUUUCUUAGUGUUGUAUGUGUUCAGUGAAACAAUGCAUGUGUUUAUCAUAGUGCCACACACACAGUAAGUGCUUGUUAAAUGGAAGCUAAUUAGUAUCAUUAUUAUUGAUGGCUAUGAUGAUAUCCUCUCUUCCUACCAUUUAAUUCUACUGAAAUUGUUGAUCCUUAAUGUGUUUAAGGCCCAUCUACCUUCAUGUUUUCAGUUUAGAUUCAGACAACAUCUAUCAAUGUCAGGCAAAGAUCCAGCUGGUGAGAACUGAAGAAGAGUGCUUUGUGUGUGUGCUUUAUCCCUUAACACUUUGAAAAUGGCAAGAGAGGAUGAUUAUUUUGUGGAUGUUUACUCUGGGCCAGGUUCUGGGAUAUUGAGAUACUUUAUGUAUGUUACCCUUUUUAAUCUCUAUAAAAAUGUUUUGAGGUAGGCAUUAUCACCCUCUUAUUUUAUAGAGUAGGGAAUUUAGACGCACAAAGGGUAUACAACUCAUUAGAAGUCACACAUCAAGUAAAUGAUGAAUCCAGGCAUUCCUGGCCACAAAGUCUGAUGUCUUACUGUGUUAGAUCAGCGUAACCUUCCUCAUCAGCCUCAGCAUAAAUGUCGAAUUGGUGCAUUUACUUCAAGGAGCAAUUCAGAAUCCUAUACACAGACCUUAACGAGGACACAGUAGCCUUGAUUUUAAUCAACAGCUUCCUCAGGCUAACGUCCCUGUGAAUCUCUCUGGGCCUUGUAUACUUCUUCUGUAAACUUGGUAGCACAGCAGAGACUAUAUCAGGUGGAAGCAGAGUGUCCUUUUCACUGUCUCAUACCUACGAUUCUGGACUUGGAAUGAGUCACACGUGUCGCAAGCAUGUUAGGAUAUAUAGGAACAAUUUAAUUGGAGGGAAAUAUUUUCUCCUAUUCCUGGCUGUCUGAGGUUCUUUGAGUCCUUUCAGUGUUAAAAUAUAAACCACGAAAACCACCUGUUUACAGUGUUUCCACUCUGUCAGCCAGUGUACCUCCAUGUUGAAUUGAACAAGAAAUUGCUAUGGGAAUGCACACAUCUGAAAGCAUAAACAGGUAUUUGAUAUCUAUUUUAAAUGGAAGCCAAAAAAUGUCAUUGGUACUUAGUAUUUCUUUCCUAAAACAAUCCCUUAUAUGUCUCCAAGCAUCAGAGAAAUAGAGAAUUUAAGACUUGGAGGAGACCAGAGGGAUCAUUUGUCUAGCCUUCUCAUUUUCCAGAUGAACAAAGAGAUGGUUUUUUUUUUCUUUGUCCCAACUGUGUGAUAUUUUAAAGCUCCCUAGCAGAAUAAUUUCCCAUCUAGCUAAAGCUUAUAGAGUGAGGACACAUGAAGAAAACACUGGGAAUUUUGCAGUGUAUCAAGAACUCCACAGUGUGCUGAAUGGGGCCCAGAGAAUAGGUUUGCUCUCUGUUUUCUAUUAAUCAAUCAAUCAAUCCAACACAAACACAACACAAAACUUGAAAUUAAACAUAAAAAUUAACAGAGUAGCAAGUAAUCAGUUCUUGGUGUCUUUGCUGUCAUUCUUAGCACCUCCACAUGAAUAGGACAGGAGACUAAAAUGUGAGAAUUAGAUUCCAAUGUCGGCAUGCAGGAGCUCCCAAGUAUCAUCUUUUAUUUAAGCCUUCUUGUAUUUUGAAGUUAUAUCUCAUAGUUAUCUAGCUACGAGAAUAAAAUGUAUAAAAUCACACCUCUUGGAAGCAUUUUCUUUUUAUUCAUUUCUUUCAUUAUCAUGAAGAUCUUUAACUACAGGGGUGCUGAGGUUAGCCCAAACCUUUGCACAAUACUCUCUUCUGCAGUAAAUGAUGGGAUAUUCUUCUUGCUCUUACAGAAAGGUAAUCUUAUCGAUAAUGCUUCCCUAGUUAGAGAGAUGGUUUGCUGCUCUUAGUGCAUGUUAACGAUAUUGUCCAUUUCUGGAAUGAAAUUCAGCUCCCAUGGCUACUUUGUCUAGCCUGUUGAUGUUAGUUUUUACCAUUGCCUGAAAUGGGUAGCAGGUGGCUUUAAGUGAAAUUCACAGUGUUCAUCAUUUUUUCAACCAGAAAAAGAAAAAACAUGAGUAAUAAAGUUCAGUCUGUGUCAAUAAAUGAGUAAUAAAGUUCAGUCUAUGUCAAUGUGAAAAUCUGGGCUGCCUACUAGGGUACAGAAUGUGACCAGAUCAGUGAGUGAGAAGGUGUCCGUGAAAUCCCCAGAGUAACUGUUCUAUGUUCCUCUGAAAAGAAGCACCUUGUGGCUCUGAGGUUCUUUGAGGAAAGUCCCUUCUCCCUGUUCAGUCAUAUACACCUGCUUUCUGCAGAAUGUCAGAACCCAAGUUUGUUUGUUUGUUUGUUUCACUCUCGGGGAAUUUCCAGUUUGUGAUUUCAUCAAUUCAGUGGCUCCCAUAUUUGGUGGUAUUAUUUAAAAUGCCAGAUACAUAAAGCAUUUAGAGCUCAGAGAUGCCCUUCUUCCCAGAGAAGUGUAGCAUCACUCUUAGACAUAAAGAGGCUUUCCUAAUUGAAGAACUUGAAGAGUCUUUGUUGCAUCUCAGACUCCCCAUCUGAACCUGUAGAUCUUAUUGUCUCUAUGAACAGGUGGAAUAUUGUUAGAUCCAGGGCCACCAGCUGUCCUGGAGCACACAUCAAAGAGGUACCCCUAGAAUUGUGCAAAAACAUGAUAUAGUUGGGUCUGCAUUUUACAAUGGAUGUAAGUCCUCGGGACCAGUGUUUUCUACUAUAAGCCUAAACAGUAUGAUGGGCAAAACCUGCCUUCAGAGAAAUGUGUGCAUUACUUAGCAGUUUCACUUCAUUCUAUGUUAUAGGAAAAAUUAUCUACUCAUAUCGUACUCAAAGGUCUUCUAUCUCUAUUCAUGCUAAGCUAUUAUAUUUGAAAUCUAUAAAUUCUCUUUUAUAAGAUGAUGAAUUUAACUUGCUCAGUACUAAUCACAGUUUUGGAAACAGUUUCUAGUGUAUGCAUUACCUUAAAUUGUUAAUCUAUGGUUUUGCACUUUUUCCUGUCAAUCUAUAAUUAAAUCAUAUGAAAACACACUGAUUUUACAUCAUUAAAAUAAAGGUGUAUUCUGAUUAUCUCUGAUGACUAUGGCUUCCUAGCAUUCAUUAUUUAAUUGCUAGACAUUUUAUUAUCAGCUCACAUGGUGUUAUCUAAAUUAAUUGUGAACUUUAAUAUAUUUGUAUCUAAAAAGAAAAUCAGUUUUCUCCUCAUAAAGUAGACUCAGAAAGCUGAAUAGGCAAAUUUUAUGCUAACAACCUAAUAUCCUCUUGCAGUUAGGAACAGAAUAAGAAUGUUUAUGGAAAUGUCCCUUUCAGUUAUUUAUCAGAGCUCUUGAAUGGUGAUACUGUUCUAUCAGUUGCAUGAGAUGACACAUGUUUUAUCCAACUGUUUGGUGACUGGAUUUCUAAAUUAAUGUCAAGACAGAAAAGUCAGUGGGAUGUAAGAAGUUCCCUGAAAUGUGGUCUGAAUAUCCAGGGCUGUCCACUCUGGCCUUGAGGGGUUGCCAGAAAUUCUUGACUGGGGCUAGGAAAGAGAGAAAGGGAAAAACAUAGUCAGGGCCAUUGUUACAUCAGUGGAUGGGGAGGCUGAGAUCACACAGAAGGAACUGCACCUACUGGAUGAACUAGAGAAGGAGUAUAUUAGUCUGUUCUCAUGCUGCUGAUAAAGACAUACCCGAGACUGGAUAAUUUAUAAAGAAAAGAAGUUUAAUUGACUCACAGUUCCACAUGGCUGGGGAGGCCUCCCAACCAUGCAGAAGGUAAGGAGGAGCAAAGUCACAUCUUACAUGGUGGCAGGCAAGAGAGCGUGUGCAGGAGAACUGCCCUUUAUAAAAUCAUCAGAUCUCAUGAGACUUAUUCACUAUCUCGAGAACAGCACGGGAAAGACCCAUCCACAUGAUUCAAUUACCUCCCACUGGGUCCCUCCCACGACACAUGGGAAUUGUGAGAGCUACAAUUCCAGAUGAGAUUUGGGUAGGGACACAGAAAAACCAUGUCAGGGAGUUAAAAUUUAAAAGGCAGAAGGCAGUCAUAUUCUACCAUGGCUCACAGCAAAACAAUUAUUUGAUAAAAUUCCAUUAUAUUUAAUACCAAAAAGACAAGAAAAUAUAUUCAGUGAGUGCCUGUUAUGAUGCAGGUACCAAAUUAAGAACUUUAUAUACAUACCUCACUUAAUCUUCACAGUAGAUAUGCAAGGAGGAUUUGAUUGUCUACAUCUUACAAGUGAGAAAACUGAGGCUCGGAGUGAUCAGAAAACUUGCUCAGGAGCACAUGGCUAGAAUGUGGCAGAGGUGGGAAAUUGAAUCAUUUCCAUUUUACACCAUCGAUAAAAAUUACCGAGGCUCAAGUCUGUAAUAUAAUGUUAAUCUGUACAACUCUGUAGCAAUACUAAGUGUGACGCUCAGAGACACUGUAACUUGGUCCAAAUCAAACUGCGAGUAAAUUGCAGAGCUGGGAUUGGAGCCAAGGUCAUUUUAAUUCCAAAAUGUACACUCUUUCCAACACAUUGCAUUCCACCGCCUACAAAGUCCUUCCUGUUAUACUAAACAGCCUCUCUAGGGAAACAAACAACUAUUUAUCUGCCCAAGGUGCCGAAUCAUACUUCUGCUUUAAGAUAGACAACAUAGGAGAUGUAUCUUGAAGAUCUUUAUCUGUCCAAAGAUUGACAGGCAAGUCUCUGAGAUUAAAUUUAAAAGGUAGCUUCCAUGUAGACAUCUCACCUGCCCUGAGGACAUCUCAUCACAUCCAUUAUUCUGUGCUGGGGAAGCUCUCCAGCACAGAAAAAUCUAUCAGGAUGGGAUUCUAAUCGAAAGCAAUAGCAUAUGCCAUGGUAUUAACCACAUUGUUCUGGCUUGGAAUGUUAAAGCUUGCUACUUUAACUCAUACUUUAUACUCAACCCAUCCUCAUUCCCUUGGACUGUGUGUUCAUGUAUUUAUCUUACCCACUAGAUUGAAAGCUUCCUUAAGACAAGAAUUGUCUCCAACUAGUCAUUCAAUACAUAUUUAUUGAGAUCCUAAUACAUGCCAGAUAGUGUUCUAAGUCCCGAUGAGUAACUACUGAGCAAGAUAGACAUGAGUUCCUGACCACACACUUUAGUGGGAAAUACCAAAUGGCAGUGACAACAACAUGGUAUGAUGAAGAUUGUGAUGGGCAAGAACAGUGUGUAUUCUGGAAGCAAAUGUAAUCUAGACUUAGAGACCAGGGGGAGAUCCUUGAGGGAAUGUCUAAGGGGAGCUCAAAAGGAUACGUGGGAGUCAUGAAAGAUUGGGGGUCUUGGAGGUUGGUGAGGGCUCCCAGCUACAGGGACAGCAAGUUUGAAGGAGUGAAAAUGAGCAGGAGAAUGGGGUAAUCAAAUAAUUGAAAGUUCCUUCUGGAUGGAGCCAAAGUGUGCUAGGGUGGGGUUGAAGGAGGGAAGCAUUGGAAGCCACCUCAGUUCGUUCCCUAAGUCCUGGUUCUUGCAUAAAGACUUAUAUUGCCUUGUGUAUUUCUUUAACAAAACAGGUUUGUUUGUUUUUAAAGACUUGGGAUUGGUUACCCUGACUUGAGAUUUAAUGUCUAUUUUCUUGACUUUUUUUUUCCUAGUGUUGCUAUCAAAUUGCUAUUUUGAUUCUUGGCCUGUGUGCCUCAUUUCUCCAUCCCCUUCUCCUUUUGUAAACGGAGGUCUAUUAAUACUUUAUUCACAGUGAAGUUGUUGGGACUAAUUACCCGAUGCCUGCAAAGCCAUCUGAGACGAUUGGCUGAGAGAUGUGCCAUGAAGUCUCACUGUUUCUCAAAAGCCCUGAUUGCUUCCGGCACAUUUCCCCUUCUGUUUUUGUGGGACUGCAGCAGCAAUUUAUCCCAGUGCCUGUUUCCUCAGAGUCUGUUACUCAGUCAUCAUCUGACACCUGGGAGGAGCGCCGGCAGCGUCUGUGGUACUCAGCCUGACUCCUUCAGACACAUCUUCACUCCCAGACGGGAGGAGGGAUGCUGAGCCAACCCCACUGUGAUGGGGACACAGCCCCAACACUGGCUUCCGUCUUGUUUCAAAAAUAAUCAAAUCCCACUUUGUCUUGCUUUCAGGGACGUUGUGUUCUUAAGCGCUUGUCAGAAACAAUUAAUGGUAAGUUUCUUUCCCUAGAAAUUGAUAGCAAAUAUCCAUUCCUCUCUCCUGAUGUUGCAUUCUCUAGAAGGACAGAAAACAGGAAGUUGCAGUAGCAGAGAUAGAAAUGCCCAUCAGACUUUCAAGACACAUUUCACCCAGAGCUGAUCAAUGGAUAGCCAACGCCAAUAUAUCAGACCCUGCAGAGCAGAACCUGGUAUGAUGGCAGACUCUUUGCUAUGUGGCUGUGUCCCCACACCCGUUACCCUGAGUCAGACAUUGCUAGUUGAUUCACCAUCCCACCCCACUUCUUCCUCACUAUGAACCUCCAAGUUAGUCCAAGUAUGAGUGGUUUCAGGAGGAUGAAGCGGCAGGGAGAUGUGACGCUUGGGAACUGUCCCUCUCUCUCCUCUCCACUCCUCUCUGGCAGCUGGUCACAGAACUGGACUAUGUCCCUCUCCUCCAGAAAGUUACCCUGUGUCACACCAUUUCACUGUCCCACUCCAUUCCCACGGCGCAGCGAGUCAUCAAGGACCCGAGGCCUCUCGGUAGGACCCUGGCAGUUUAAAAUCUCCAAGCUUUACCUCACUCCUAUGUCUAGUGCAGACAAAACCACUAAACCUGUAAAGGUGGUAGAAGAACUCUAACACAUAAUUAACUAUUCCGUGCAGCAAAUAUUAGAACCCUCCCUCCGAAAGUACUUAGUUUAUUUAAUGAUCUAUGCCCUAUUUAUGAUUAAUUAUGACAUAUUGAUGACAGAUGUAUAACCACGUACUUUUUUUUUUUAUUAAAAACCGCUGUGUGUAUUUUUCUCUGUUGAAAGCCCUGUGAAUUAGGUAAAGGAGGUAUUAUUAUAGAGUUGAUUGAAAGUUGAGGAAUCUGAGGUUUGCACUUGCUUCUAAGUGCUCUUAUAAAAUUGCCAUAUGUGCUCUGAUUUCUCGUUGACACCAGCAUGUUAGUUCACUCCUGGUUCCCUCGAGGGUAAGUGUGCAUUCACCGCAUAGGACUGUUGGGCAGAACAGACAAGGACCUAGAGAAGGGCCCUCCAUACCAGGAGUUCACAUGUCUGUGCUGGGUGCAAGGAAAUGGUUGGGGGUUCUCAAGUUAGCCUCACUUGUAAGACAGCAACACCUUCUGAACACUUCCCUCUUGAGAAUUCACUGAGAAAGGCUUUGAUUGUAUUUGUCAGCUUCAUCAGGCCCAGGAGAUGAGAACAUGCUCUUGUUCCUGAAACCACAGCGUCCUGUCCUGCAUGUAAUAAUUUGCAAUAUGUUGUCUCCGUCACUUGGAAGGAGUCAUUUUUCCGCAGCAUCAGUGCUUCCCCUGGGAAUUCCUUUCCUUCAGGUAUUAACUUGCCUUGGUCCUUGCCUUUAUUCUUAUUCUUCUUGUUUCUCUGACUUUACAUUUCACGCACCUGCCACUCUCAGCAACUCAAAUGGUUGACUUUUCUUUCUGUUUUUCAAUAUCAAUAUAUUUAUUUUCUGUGGGAUUUUUUAAUCGUUUUUCAGAGUCCAGGAAGGGAGAAUAAAAUAGAAAGAUAAGAACAAAAGAUAAAAUAAUAUUCCUUCACUGUUCCAUUUUAAACGUGACAUCAGGAGCUUAGACAGCAGCCUGUGUAAUGGGAAUUGUCCCUGGGUCCCAAACUGAGCCUGGAGAACUUUUACAAAAUAACUCCACGUUUAGCUUGGAAAGUAGCAAGGCUGAAAAAUACAUGGCAGAUUUUUGGAGUGGGGAAUGAAAAGAAGUAUGCCGUUAUUUUUUUCUAGCUCCUGUUUUCUCUUUUUGAGCGGCUCUGUCUGUCGCAGUUCAGCAGAAUCUAAACACCCACAUUCUGUCCUUGUGUCACACCCCUGGCCAGUUGUCCAUUAGUGGCGGGUGUUUCAUUCAAAACACACGCCUCUCAUGAGAAACAAGUGAGGACCCAGUGCAUAGUAACUACAGUUACACACUGCUUAACAAUGGGGAUACAUUCCAAGAAAUGCACUGUUGGACAAUUUCAUCACUGUGCAAACACCAUAGAGUACACUUAAACACACCUAGAAGGUACAGCCUACUACACACCUAGGCUGUAGGGCAGAGCCUACUGCUGCUAGGUUACACACUGUACAGUGCUCCUAGGUUAUACCCCUGUACAGCAGUGACUGUAUUGAACACUGUAGGCAACUGUAACACAAUGGUAAGCAUUUGUGUAUCUAAACAUAGGAAAGGUAAAAAUACAGUAUAUAAUCUUAUGGGACCACUGUUGAUAUUCAGUCUGUCGUUCACUGAGCCAUCAUUAUAUGAUGUAUGACUGUAUUUGAGUGUCUGUUUCUUUACAUAAAUUGUUUAAUUUAGUCCCCGCAAACAGUUCGUCCAAUAGAUGAUAUUGUCUUUGAUCAUCUACAUUUUAAAGAGAAAAAAAUGAGGGUUCAAAGAAAUUAGGUUAUUUGUGCGGGGUCACAUAAGUGGUAAAUGUCCGAGCCACAGUCCAACCAUACCCACUUGUUUUCAGAUUCUGUGCAUUUUCUUUUGCAUGACCACUCUUCUGCUUGCAUUAUUGGUUUGGGAUAAGGUUAAGUGGGGCAUCUCAUCUUUUAUUCCCAGAAGUCUAGGGUGUCUUCCCCAGCUCUCUUUAGGUAUUUCUCCUGAACAUCGCUGAUCUCGGGAUGCCCCACUGGCACCCCACUGGUAGUAGAGUGAGUGUCCUCACGCCACUUUCUGCUGCUGGAAUCUCCUAGGGGCCAAUCCACCUGCAAGCCUGCACGCUCUUCCUGGGGACUCCACCGUCAGCUGCCCUUGGCCAAAAUGACCCUCUAAUACUCUGCAUAUGUCAUUCCCACUCCACAGUCAGGGUAUCCUGGAAGUACAUCAAAGAGCUUGCCAGAAAGACCUGGAUAGGAAGCCACACGAGAGGGCUCAAGAUAUUCAUAGCGUUGGCAAAGAAGGCAGUAGGUACAGUGGAAGGGUGUCUGGCCAUUGAUGCAGGUGUGAAUCCAUCUGCCGGCUCACUGCUGUGUGAUUUUAGGUGUAAUGACAACUCACCCAGUCUCAGUACUUUCCUCUGCAGAAUGGAUCUAACAUCUGAUUUCCCAUCCCAUGGCGAGAGUUAAAGGAAUGCCUGUUAGAUGGUGUUAGGCCCCAGUCUCUCCAUUUUCCUCAUUCCUCUUUUUCUCUGUACUACAAACACCUCAUGCUCCGCACAUUACAUGAUAAUGACAGCUAAUAUUUACUGGGUGCAUCCUACACCCAGGAAUGUUUCUAAGCAUUCUGAAUGCAUUCGCCCAUUUAUCCUGGAGAACAGAUUUUUAAAGGGAGAAUCCUAUUACUAACUAGAUUUUAUGGAAAAUGGAGGCAUUGUUUUCACCACACACAAAAACGUCAAAUAUGUGAGAUAAUGCAUAUAGGUUCAUGAGCCUGAUUUAGCUGUGCCACAAUGUAUACUAUAUCAAAACAUCAUGCCGUACAUCAAAAGCGUAUAUAAUUUUUAUUUGUCAACUAAAAGUAAUUAUUUUUUCAAAAAAAGAAAGAAAAUUCAGGCCAAGAGUAGUAAAGUCCCUUUGCUUAAUGUCAGGUAGCUGGAGCCACCCACGGCAGGGCAGGACAGGAACAAUGGUGCCCGGAUGAGAUCAAGAACAUCCGAACCCUCAAAGGCAGGCAGAGGCUGAGAGCAGUGAGUUAACCUAAUGACUGGGUUAGCCUGCACAGCCAUUGCUCCUGCCCGCUGCAUUCCACUAGAGCCACCGCUCAGCCAGAAGCACACUCUGAGGGUGCCGCUCACAGAAGAAGGCAAUUGAAGUAGAGGAGAGCAGAAUAAUGUAUUUCUUCUCUCUCCCCCUCUCCUCCCCGUCUCUCUUUCUCCACCCUCUCUUCCUUCAACCAAGUGUUACUGUGCAUGUACUAUGCGCUGUUCCUUUAUACACCGAGGAUAUGACAGCGAACAAAAAUGGUGAGAGCCCACCCAUCCCAGAGUCAUCUGAGAGACAGGACUAGGGUGAAAGCGCUUCCAAAGGUAGAGACGGAUGCAGACCAUGUGCCAGCCUCACCACUCUUUCGUCUGAUGCCAGCUGAGCAGCAGUGAAGAGAGCCGGACGCAGACCAUGUGCCAGCCUCACCACUCUUUCGUCUGAUGCCAGCUGAGCAGAGGUGAAGAGAUCAUGAUUGUGUUUAACAUGGAGCCACUGAAAGUGUUUCGAAUUAGAACCCAAGACUGGAAAGAUGGGGGGGACAGACAUUCCAGUCUCUAAAGGAAGAGAGAGCUACAAGACCCGUCAAUCAGAUCAUAGCUCAGAAAGUGGACACUUAAGGAAUGAAGAGGAAGUUUCCUUAUUCGAAGAUCCAAGAGGUGGCCAUAUUUGGAUGUGACGUAGUCUCAGGCCUGGGUCCCACACCCAAAAGCUUUCUGUGCAGUUAGCAAUGGUUCUAAUCUGAAACUAUAUCAAGUGAUAUAGCUUGAGCACUUGAUGUGAUAUCCAAAAACAAGUAAGAAGAUAGUUUCUGAGCACUUGUUUUGUUAAGCCAAGGAAGUCAGAUGGACAAAAGAACUGACCUUAUAAACCAAAUGGAGCUGGUAGCCAGGUCACCUGGAGCUGCACUUCGGAGAUGCCAGAACAAAAAAUUAGUGUUCCAGGAAGUCUUCUGCCUCUGUCCUCCACCUUUUUUGUUUCUCUUCUUUUCUUCUUAGUCUAUUUCAGAAAAAAAAAAAUCUAUGUACUAAGGCAUCAAGGAAGAAAGUAAGUCUUUUUACUCUUAAAGCAAGUGAGCUGGGGGAAGCAGAGUACGUGGAUUCCAGAUGUGGUCAUGGCAACUGAAAUCUGGCUCUAGCCAUCAGCUCAGGCUGAAAUUUCUGUCAUUCUCGACUCCUGAUGUGCUUCUGAUUUAAUUUAAUUUUUAGUUUAAUUUAAUUUUUAGUUUCCUUCUGCCUGGGCCUUGAGGUUUCAAAUGGAUUAUCCAGAUUUCAAAUCCAAAGCCUGCCAGGUCCUGCUGUUCCACUGCAGAUUUUUUCUUGAAAAAAAGUUAGAUCUUAGAUCUCCACUCCCACUCCCAUACCCCACAUUCAGUCCAGAUGCAAAUCCCAGAGCUCCACCUUCAACACCUUUGAGGACUGUACGUCCUUAUCAGUACCUAUACUGUUGGCACUCUAAUCCAAGCCACCCUGCCUGGAUUUCUGCAAUAGCCCCCUGGUCCCAGCCUCAGACCCUCUUUAGUCAGGUCUCAACACAGUGGCCAGUUUCCAAAUGUACACCAUGUCAUCUCUUACAUUUCUGCCUCAUUUUGAGUAAUAGCCAGAACCUUGAGCAUGGCCUCCAGAGCCCUACUGGAUCCCCUCCCCCGGCUUCUCACCUCCUUCCCUCCACUCACUGGCCCCAAUGCACGGCUCCCACCUUCUUCAAAUUUGCCCAGCAUGUCUGGGGACCUUUGCAAUUGCUCUGUCCUCUUCCUGAAACUCUGUCCCCCGAGAGCCACAGGACUCACUACUAUAUUUUGGGGGUCAUUGCUGAUCCACCUAUUACAUAAAAUCGUAUCCCUAAUCCCAGAACUCCCCAUCUCCCUUUCUUGGUUUGUUACCGAUGCCCAUAUAUUGUUUAUUCAGAUUGAUUUCUCUAUUUGCCUAUUGUCUGUCUUUCUUUUCAUUUAAAUGGAAACUCUAUGAAGACAGGGACGUUGUCUGUUAUGUUCACUACCGUAUUCCCAAAUCUGAGAGUAGUGCCUAGACAUAGAAGGUGCUUAGUAAAUAUCUAUUGAAUGAGUAAAUACAAAAAAUGUUCCCAGGGCAUAGAGCAUUGAUUGAUGUCCUCUUUAUCUCAUUGUAUCCCUCAUUUGCCCUUGGUUUUCUCUCAGCAAGAUAAGAUUUGUUUCAUAAUUAACAUUCUAUUUUUUACUGUAAUUCUAAUUUUUUAAAAAGUAUAAUUUCGUUUUUACUAUUCUUCUCUCACUUUUGCAUCAAAGAUUCAGGGAAUUAAUUUGUUCUUACCAAAUAGAUAGAGGCUUUUGUGCUUAGAUGGAAAUACUUGGGAUUUUCAUCACAUUGUGUUUCUACAUCUCAGAUUUCAAGGACAGGACUGACUUUGAAUGUCAGAGUUUUACAAGAAGAAAUAUACUGUUCUGGGUGGCCUAGUAGGGGUGAAAAGCAUUCACUUUGUAACCUCACUGCUGGGGUACAAAUCUUAACUCAGCCAGUUACAAACUGUGGCCUUCAGCAAAUACUAAACCUUUCUUUGCUUUAGUCUUUACUUCUAGAAACUAGAGAAGGUGAAUGAUGAGGUUAAUAAUAUAAGCCCAUAAAUUUGAAUUGAGAAUUAAAUGUAUUAACACUUGAAGAGUAGUUAGAACUCAUCCUAACUUAUGAAAAUGUUUAUUUAUAAAAACAAAACAACACUCUUCCUUUUCCUGUCUCUGGAACCGUGAACAAGUCAUUUCCUGUCACUGCACCUCAAUUCUCCUACCAAUAAAAUGAAGGGGGAGGUAGGAAAGGUUGAACAAUUUCUGACUAUGAUUUUAUCCACUCUAACUUUCAAAGUCUGAGGUGAGGCUGUCUCAGAGCCAGGAAGACAGAUUUUGUGCUUCUGAUUUAAUUUAAUUUUUAGUUUCCUUCUGCCCGGGCCUUGAGGUUUCAAAUGGAUUAUCCAUAUUUCAAAUCCAAAGCCUGCCAGGCCCUGCUGUUCCACUGCAGUUUUUUUCUUGAAAAGCAGAGCGGAUGCCCAGGAAACAUUCUAAGAAGCCUCUGGGGAGAUCUCUGGGCAGGCAGGGGCAGGCUGGGUGGAGUGGGGCCCCCUGGGCUGUGAGGGCUCCUGGCAGUGCUGGGGGUAGCUGGGGGUACUUAGAUCUCCAGAACCAUGGGUGUGAGUGGGAGGGGGCCACGGUGACAGAGUGACCUGUGCCCCAGGAGGCCUUUGCAGAAGUCUUUGUCAGCAGUCCCCAGUGACCCAGCUCGGCAAACGCUCAGGAAGGCAACUGGCAACUGUGACCUCUAAGUGGGGCAAUGAAAGAAAGGAACCCACAUUUCCAUGCUCAGGAAAACCUCCUGUAGAAGCUCAAUCAUCAUAACCUCUGGUGGACCUUCUUGUUCAAAGUCACAAUGGAUUCCUUGCCACGCCCUAAGGUGAUGAAGAGAGACUGUGCCUGUAGGUCACGUGCUCAUCGGCAAGCCUUCCCUUCUUCCUUCACCUAUGCCCUGCCACCCAUUCUCAAAGAGUUGAAGAUUAUGCUUGUCCAUAAAACUCAGCUUGUAGAGCCAGUCUUUCCUACCAAGAUAAUAUGUUCAUUAGCUCCUGACAUCCCCUAUUCACAGAAAUAAAAAGAUCUUUGCCACUCUA